rnacentral:snRNA from 1 species
GUGCUUGCUUCGGCAGCAUAUAUACUAAAAUUGGAACGAUACAGAGAAGAUUAGCAAGGCCCCUGUGCAAGGAUGACAUGCAAAUUCAUGAAGCAUUCCAUAUUUUG